CCUACGGGAGACAGCAGUGGGGAAUAUUGCACAAUGGGGGAAACCCUGAUGCAGCGACGCCGCGUGAGUGAAGAAGUAUUUCGGUAUGUAAAGCUCUAUCAGCAGGGAAGAAGAAAGACGGUACCUGACUAAGAAGCCCCGGCUAACUACGUGCCAGCAGCCGCGGGAAUACGUAGGGGGCAAGCGUUAUCCGGAUUUACUGGGUGUAAAGGGAGCGUAGACGGCUGUGCAAGUCUGAAGUGAAAGCCCAGGGCUCAACCCUGGGACUGCUUUGGAAACUGUGGAGCUAGAGUGCUGGAGAGGUAGGUGGAAUUCCUAGUGUAGCGGUGAAAUGCGUAGAUAUUAGGAGGAACACCAGUGGCGAAGGCGGCUUACUGGACAGUAACUGACGUUGAGGCUCGAAAGCGUGGGGAGCAAACAGGAUUAGAUACCCGGGUAGUC
rnacentral:rRNA from 1 species